GACGAACGCUGGCGGCGUGCCUAAUACAUGCAAGUCGAACGCACAGUUUAUACCGUAGCUUGCUACACCAUAAACUGUGAGUUGCGAACGGGUGAGUAACGCGUAGGUAACCUGCCUGGUAGCGGGGGAUAACUAUUGGAAACGAUAGCUAAUACCGCAUAAUAUUAAUUAUUGCAUGAUAAUUGAUUGAAAGAUGCAAUUGCAUCACUACCAGAUGGACCUGCGUUGUAUUAGCUAGUAGGUGAGGUAACGGCUCACCUAGGCGACGAUACAUAGCCGACCUGAGAGGGUGAUCGGCCACACUGGGACUGAGACACGGCCCAGACUCCUACGGGAGGCAGCAGUAGGGAAUCUUCGGCAAUGGACGAAAGUCUGACCGAGCAACGCCGCGUGAGUGAAGAAGGGUUUCGGAUCGUAAAGCUCUGUUGUAAGAGAAGAACGGGUGUGAGAGUGGAAAGUUCACACUGUGACGGUAUCUUACCAGAAAGGGACGGCUAACUACGUG
rnacentral:rRNA from 1 species